rnacentral:lncRNA from 1 species
GUUUGUUUGUAUUCUGUGUAGAUUAGUUUUCAUUAAAGUGGUGCGAGUUUUUAUUUUUAAUUAUAUAUAUAUUAAUCUAAAUAUUACCGUUUUUUAUAAGUAGGGCGAGUUGGCAGGAGUAAUAUUAAACAUGAUUUAACCAAUUUCACAUGUGGGGCGAUUUGAUAAAUCAGUUUGUGGCGUUUUUUAUAAAGUGGGGCGAUUAGCCAGUGGGGCAACUUGUCCUGCUUCCAUUUGAAGGCCCCCUUGAAGGUUUUGUAUGACUAUAUGGACCAUCUUUC